UCCUAACUAAAGAUGGCCUCUUACUUGUAAGCUAUCGCUUUGCGAUGGGUCUGCGUCUGAUUAGCUAGUUGGUGGGGUAACGGCCUACCAAGGCAACGAUCAGUAGCCGGUCUGAGAGGAUGAACGGCCACAUUGGAACUGAGACACGGUCCAGACUCCUACGGGAGGCAGCAGUGGGGAAUCUUCCGCAAUGGGCGAAAGCCUGACGGAGCAACGCCGCGUGAGUGAAGAAGGUCUUCGGAUCGUAAAGCUCUGUUGUCGGGGACGAAUGUACCUUUUGUGAAUAAUGAGAGGUAAUGACGGUACCUGACGAGGAAGCCACGGCUAACUACGUG
rnacentral:rRNA from 1 species